UGGUGAGGUUGAUGUUUCCUGGUGUU
rnacentral:piRNA from 1 species